CCUACGGGCUGCACCAGUAGGGAAUCUUCGGCAAUGGACGAAAGUCUGACCGAGCAACGCCGCGUGAGUGGAGAAGGUUUUCGGAUCGUAAAACUCUGUUGUUAGAGAAGAACAAGUAGGAGAGUAACUGCUCUUACCUUGACGGUAUCUAACCAGAAAGCCACGGCUAACUACGUGCCAGCAGCCGCAGUAAUACGUAGGUGGCAAGCGUUGUCCGGAUUUAUUGGGCGUAAAGCGAGCGCAGGCGGUCUUUUAAGUCUGAUGUGAAGGCCCUCGGCUCAACCGAGGAAGGUCAUUGGAAACUGGAGGACUUGAGUGCUGAAGAGGAGAGUGGAAUUCCAUGUGUAGCGGUGAAAUGCGUAGAUAUAUGGAGGACCACCAGUGGCGAAGGCGACUCUCUGGUCUGUAACUGACGCUGAGGCUCGAAAGCGUGGGGAGCAAACAGGAUUAGAUACCCCUGUAGC
rnacentral:rRNA from 1 species